UACGUAGGGUGCAAGCGUUAAUCGGAAUUACUGGGCGUAAAGCGUGCGCAGGCGGUUUUGUAAGUCUGAUGUGAAAUCCCCGGGCUCAACCUGGGAAUUGCAUUGGAGACUGCAAGGCUAGAAUCUGGCAGAGGGGGGUAGAAUUCCACGUGUAGCAGUGAAAUGCGUAGAGAUGUGGAGGAACACCGAUGGCGAAGGCAGCCCCCUGGGUCAAGAUUGACGCUACAUGCACGAAAGGCGUGGGGAGCAAACAGGAU
rnacentral:rRNA from 1 species